rnacentral:lncRNA from 1 species
CAGCUGUGAGAAGCAGUUGGCUGAGGGUAAAGCCCUGAAGAGAUGCCCAGGGGAGUGGCUGGCCCAAGGCACUGCUCAGUGUCUGCUCUGUCAGACCUGCAUCUCCUCCCUGGUUCCCCCAGAUCUGCCACUCCAUCAACCACAAGGCCAAGACAGAGUGCACUCCUGCCACUGGGUGAUGACAAUCCAUGUUGGAGAUUGAACUUCAGGCUUUGGCUUGCUACGCAAGCACCCAAUACUGAGCUACACCCCAGCCCCUUAAAAUCUUGAGCCCCAACAGUAAUCUACUGACGUCAGGCUUGGGUAUACACCAUCCAUGGAUGCAAAGCUGGCCUCAGGGGAGACAUCUCUCAGCUACUAGUUUUGUACCAGAUGGUUGACUGAGUCCCACAAGUCUUGGCCAAAUCUAUCUGGAUACAGACUUGCGGUGGCUUAAAAUACACAACGCUGAAAGUUCCAAAGCCCUGCAACGUUGCAGAAUGCUCUACCUGCCAGCCUCCCGUGCCUGGCCAGGAGCGGGAAGGAGCUGUGGGAGCUUAUCUAGGCUCAAUAUAAUGAACAUUUUAAUGACUACAGAAGGUAACACACAGGGAAAAAGAAUCGAGAAAUGAUACAAACAAAUGCCAGUAUCCUACUUCCUUUCUUUUUGUUUUUCUUUGAGAUGGGAUCUUGAAUGUUGCCUAGGCUGGCCUCAAAGUCCUGGGAUCAAGUGAUCCUCCUGCCUCAACCUCCCAAGAAGCUAGUAUUACAGGCAUGUGCUACUGCACCCCACUGAUUUUCUAUUAAACAUUAUAAAAAUUAAACUGAGGGCCGGAGAUUUAGCUCAGUGGUUCUGCCACCUGCCUCACAAGCGCAAGGACCCAAGUUCGAUCCCGGUACCAAAAAAAAAAAAAAAAAAUUAAACUGAAACUGACAAUUCACAGCACUUCAGUACAUAGAAUAUGUAUUAAAAAGAUGAUCAACUAUUUGG